CCAAACUCCAGAUGAGGUCUCCUGAGAGCUUAUGGCCAGAUUGCUGGCCCCAGUGCUUAUAAACCCAAUGAGACGGUUAUGAGCAUGAGGGAUGUACAGAUGUGGCAUCCAGCAAACUCACCUUGCACCUGCAAGGACUAUGGCCUGCCUCUGCCCUGCUAAAUGAAGUGGAUCUUGUGCCUGAAUCUAUAAGAGUUCACUGGGAGCGUGAGGCUGCAGCCUCAAUAGCAAGUGAUGCUCUCGCACAGCCAGAGGAAAUCAUACUGGAAAUUGUUGCUGACCCCUCAUGACUGGACCUGGCAGCAGGGAGCAGGGACUAACCCAGGUGCAGGAGGCUGCGCUGAGCUCCACACAAUGUGUCCAUCAUCUUAGUCCAGGCAUUUUAAUUGACACUGCAGUAAAAAAUCUGGCACCCAACAUUUUCUCCUUCGAGCCACAAUGGAGAGGCUGUGCCAACAGUUCGACCGUGCUCGUUUCCCUCUUCCAGUUGGGGGGUGCAUGUGUGGAAGAAGGGCAUAGGAAAGAAACACACCACCCCCCCCCAGUUUUGGAUGUCAGUUUGUCACUACAUCAGCCCAGGAUCCAUUGCUGGCAUGGCUCUCCUGAAUGCGUGUCUGUCUGUCUGUCCAGUGGAGCUUUGCAGCACACAGGAAUAGAGAUGACAUCUAUCCUGAAGCUUUGACUGCUUCCCUCUAGGACUAGUAGUAAAUAUGGGUUGCUUUGCUUGAGGAGGUUGCUCCGGUACAAAGGGGCUUCCCUUGGGUAGACUUUGGAACUGGGUUGGGGAAACCUCAGCUCCCUCAAGGGAUGGGGUCCCCCUGGACUUGUCCCCUGCCUCUCCCCUGCACCUCUGAGUGAGCUGUGGGUUGGUGCAGCCCCGCGCUGAGCUCCAGGAGCCAAGCAGCCGAGGGGACUCCUCUGCUGCUGCAAUGCAGGGCUGAGUGCAGGUUGCAGAAAACGAAGGACACACAGGCACUGCAGAACCAGGGCCGGAGGCUGGAGGGGAGGAUCAGAGCCCAGCAUGACACCGCUUUCACUUAUCCCAUCUUGUGUCCCUUGGGCUGUGCCCAUUUCAAGUCAAUGCCAUCCAUAAACGGGCAGCCAGCAAAAGGGCAUUUCGGGCACCAGUGCAUUAAGGAGGUGAAGUGGCACAAAUGCAACCAGGAAAAGGCAGGACUGACUUGCACUGUGCUAUAUUGCUUACCUAAUGCUUUGGCAAGAAUCUGGAGCCAAUUCAUCACUGUUUAUCCCCCAAACCAGCUAUUGCUUUUGCCAAAGAAUGGGGAGAGUCACCUCUCCUCCCUCCUGGGGCCAUUCGUGCUUUGCUUUUCAGGGAGGUAGCACUAAUUCAGCUGGGCAGAGGCAAAAUGCACCGAUAGGAACACACUGAUCCAAAACUCUUCUAAAAACUCCAGAAAAGAGCAAACAAAGGAGUAAAGGCAGUUUUCUUUCUGUCUGGUCUUGCUUAUUUAUCACUCCUGCUGUUUUCAAUAUAGACCAAGGAGAGGGCAAAAACGAAACAAAAAGCCAUUGUAAGUGGGGAGGUAGCAGCCUUUCCGUUUCUUUUGUGCACGUAAAUUGCUCCCAUGAAUUAGGCUAUUUUUGGUUUGGCCAAAUUCCCCCAGAUUAGAAUGGGUGAAAGGGAGAAAAGAACUACUUGAAUCAAA